rnacentral:ncRNA from 1 species
UUCUUCGGGGUUGGGUGAAAUUCCCUACCGGCGGUAUAGUCCGCGACCUGUUUCUGCAAGAAAUAUUCCGAAUGGAAUGGAACAGAAAUGGCUGAUUUGGUGCAAUUCCAAAACCGACAGUAAAGUCUGGAUGAGAGAAGAA